rnacentral:rRNA from 1 species
AGCAGCCGCGGUAAUUCCAGCUCCAAUAGCGUAUAUUAAAGUUGUUGCAGUUAAAAAGCUCGUAGUUGAAUUUCGGGAUUAAUGCGUCGGUCGUGCCUUCGGUACGUACUAGCGUCAUUGAUUCCUCCCUUCUGAAGAACCGUGAUGUCAUUAAUUUGGUGUUACGGGGAAUCAGGACUGUUACCUUGAAAAAAUUAGAGUGUUUAAAGCAGGCUAACGCCUGAAUACAUUAGCAUGGAAUAAUGAAAUAGGACGUCCGAACCUAUUUUGUUGGUUUCUAGGAUCGACGUAAUGAUUAAUAGGGAUAGUUGGGGGCAUUAGUAUUCAAUUGUCAGAGGUGAAAUUCUUGGAUUUAUUGAAGACUGACUACUGCGAAAGCAUUUGCCAAGGAUGUUUUCAUUAAUCAAGAACGAAAGUUAGGGGAUCGAAGACGAUCAGAUACCGUCGUAGUCUUAACCAUAAACUAUGCCGACUAGGGAUCGGAUGAUGUAAUUUUAUAAUGACUCA